GAUGCUCCCAGGCUCUCCCGCAGUUUAAAGACUUAACUCAGCGGCUUUCAGGGCCUGUGGUUGAGGGACUCCGAAAGAACUGUUGCUGGUGGACCGGUUCAGGGUCUUGACUUCGCCACACAAAAGAACUUGAGAGCACGUCCAAAGUAAAGCUAAGACCUCUAGUACAGUGUUCAAUGGAACUGGUGAGAAAAGACGUCCUUGCUGUGUUCCUGAUAUGAAGAGGAAAGCAGUCCUUCUCCAUUAAGUAAAAUGCUGACAACAUGAGCCUCCCGUGGUCGGAACGGGCUUGUGAAGGCGGUGCUGGGGUGCACCAGGGCAGCAGCUACAGCACUCUGCAGUGAUAUCUUCAAGCCCCUGGCUUCGCAGGGUGCAGCACACAUCACAGACUCCUAACAAAAUGCAAAACACAGAGCAGGCAUGGCAGCUACACGAAAGGAGCGCCUCGUUCGAGGACUGCCCACCAUGCGGGGCUGCAGUCACAGCACCGCCCCUGCUCUCUGAACCUGGCAGCAGCAAGAAAACAUGACGUCCUGUCCUGGCUCACCUCUGAUCAGAGUUGGGGGGAUCUGACCGAGUCCUCUUGUUCUGUUGGGCAGAGACGUAGGGAACAAACCUAAGUAAACUUGAAUGGAAACUGCGAAACUGCAGAGAGAUGACAUGUGCAAAGCAAGCCUCUUGAAGACUUGUGAGCAGGGAAGACCCUGGCACCUUUUUGAACUGCUUGGCUUAGGAAGAUUUGCUUUGCCACAGCUUCUGUCAGAGCAGAGCAGGCUCCUGUAUUGCCUGCUGGACCUGUGCCUUUUGGGCCGUGCAAUUUGGUUCCACAAUCCAGAGGCAGAUUUUCAGACCAUGCAAUAAAACAAAGCGACAUCAUCAAUGCCAAGCCCUGGUCUGCCCUGA
rnacentral:lncRNA from 1 species